rnacentral:rRNA from 1 species
CACCUCUAGCAUUACUAGUAUUAGAGGCACUGCCUGCCCAGUGACACACGUUUAACGGCCGCGGUACCCUGACCGUGCAAAGGUAGCAUAAUCACUUGUUCUUUAAAUGGGGACUCGCAUGAAAGGCACCACGAGGGUUUAACUGUCUCUUACUUUUAACCAGUGAAAUUGACCUGCCCGCGAAGAGGCGGGCAUAAAAUAAUAAGACGAGAAGACCCUAUGGAGCUUUAAUCUAUUAAUGCAAUCAAAAACUAUACAAACCCACGGACCUUUAAACUACCGACACCUGCAUUAAAAAUUUUGGUUGGGGCGACCUCGGAGCACAACAAAACCUCCGAAUAACACAUGCUAAGACUACACAAGUCAAAGCGAGCUAAUACUUACAAUUGAUCCAAUAAUUUGAUCAACGGAACAAGUUACCCUAGGGAUAACAGCGCAAUUCUAUUCUAGAGUCCAUAUCGACAAUAGAGCUUACGACCUCGAUGUUGGAUCAGGACAUCCUAAUGGUGCAGCAGCUAUCAAGGGUUCGUUUGUUCAACGAUUAAAGUCCU